UGUGUGCUGGGCUGUGUCUUUCUCUCUGUGGGUUGGACGUAGCUGCUCGUGAAGCCGCUCCUGCAGCCCAGCAGCCCCUAUCUGGGAAACCUUUCAGUGCUUUCAAGGUUCAUUUUAUGACACUCAGGAUGGCCGUUUGUCUCCUUUUGCUGAUUUUCAUUCUUUCAGUUGUUUGUUCAUAAACAAAUGUUUGCAUGGCUAAUGCAUUUCCAGCACUUAGAGAUUAGGUUUUUAAACUUUUGGAUUGUCUGCAGGCUAUUAAUUCCUUGUUAGUUGAAUAAUGACGGCUGUGUGCAUGGAGCUGUGUGAGCGAAAUCCCUCACCAGGAAGAGGGCGCAGUUCCUCUGGGACUGGAACAGGGGCCCCUUUGGCUCUCCUUGGCUCCUGGCAGAAGUCAGUUGUCAACUGGGGGACUCUUUCUGGCUGAGCCCCAAGCAGCCUCAAUCCAUCCCUGUGCUGGGUUUUAGAUAACCCACUGGAUCUGUGUUGGUCUUUGAAAGGGAAUUCACUCUGUAUGUUUGGCCUAAACUGUGUUAUGGCCUUCAUAGUUACGUAUUAGCAUUAUUCAGUUUUUGUUGUUUGUAGCAAUUAUGCUGAAGACACAAAAGAAGAAAAAAAGCUAAGUGUUGCCAACUCAAGGAGUAAUUUUCUUUGUUCCAGCGCUGUGUCCUGGGAGCUGCCCAUCCCCCUCCACAAAGGCCAGUGCUAAACAAGGCCAGAGCCAGGAAGGACACGCGGGGCCAUGGAUUGAGUGAGGGCAGUGUGUGCGUGUGUGGAUUUCUCUGGUGGCUUUGCAAUGGCAAAUAUUUAUUUUGAGGGAUGGUGGUGGGAGGACCAAGUUUAUACUCACUUUGUUUAGUAGGGGAAGUGGCUAAUGUGAGAAUCAAUAGACAAGAUUUUAUCAAGCCUCUGCACUGGGCAGAGCGCAGUUUUUGAAGCUGGGAGAACAGGCAGAUGUGUGGGACACUCAGGGCCCUUCAGAUCUCCCCCAGGAGCCACUGAUACAGGACUUGAGCUUGGAGGGAGCUGGAGUGGCCGCUUGCUGAGUCUUUCUCCCUGGAGCUCGUGGGCAGCUGGUUACCUCGCGCUGGGGCGACCCUGACUUAGGACCUCCUGCCGUUUCUCUGGGUGACUGCUCUGUAGUCGUGAGUCGUCUCUUUAAUGCUGAGCAUCAGUACCUGCACAGCCCUGAAUGGAGCAGCUGCCCAGAAUCUGUCUUGUCAUCGAUAGAUGGACAGUUGCCGAGUGUCCUGCGUGCCGACUGACUAAGGAGUUUUUGUCUCUGUCACCCUGUCCCCUGUGGUUUUAUGAAGACGUUAGUUAUGAAUCCGUGUUUAGGAUGAGAAGAUGUAAACAGUGAGGAGGAUAAGUGAGAAGCUAGCAAGAGUCUGGAUGGUGAUGGCGGGGGAGCGCUGGUGGAGGAGUCGGGGGCGUCCCGCUGGACUGGGGCACAGCUCUGCAGCAGCAGCCGGUGCGGUUUUGCCUUGUAAGUGACACCGUUGCCUGCAGGCAUCUCUGACAGCUGCUCCUGCUCCAGAUUCCAGAAAUUUCUAUGGAACAUUUCCUGAACCAUCCUCCUGGUUUCUUCCCUUCCCCUCACUGAAUAAAAUCCGUAAUAGCA
rnacentral:lncRNA from 1 species